rnacentral:rRNA from 1 species
CGGGGUGCAGCAGGCGCGAAAACUCUACAAUGCAGGCAACUGCGAUAGGGGAACAUCGAGUGAUCCUCAUAUUGGGGGUCUGUCCCACCGUCUAAAAAACGGUGGUUAGCAAGGGCCGGGCAAGACCGGUGCCAGCCGCCGCGGUAAUACCGGCGGCUCGAGUGGUGGCCGAUAUUAUUGAGUCUAAAGGGUCCGUAGCCGGCUUUGCAAGUCUCUCGGGAAAUCCAGCGGCUUAACCGUUGGUCGUCCGGGGGGUACUACAUUGCUUGGGACUGGGAGAGGUAGGAGGUACUCAGGGGGUAGGAGUGAAAUCCUGUAAUCCUCUGGGGACCACCGGUGGCGAAGGCGUCCUACCAGAACAGGUCCGACGGUGAGGGACGAAAGCUAGGGGCACGAACCGGAUUAGAUACCCGGGUAGUCCUAGCCGUAAACGAUGCUCGCUAGGUGUCACAACAGUCGUGAACUGUUGUGGUGCCGUAGGGAAGCCGUGAAGCGAGCCACUUGGGAAGUACGACCGCAAGGUUGAAACUUAAAGGAAUUGGCGGGGGAGCACAAGGGCGAAUCGC